GACGAACGCUGGCGGCGUGCCUAAUACAUGCAAGUCGAACGCAGUGGGGACGGGUGAGUAACACGUGGGUAACCUCCCAUCAGAGGGGAUAACACUUGGAAACAGGUCCUAAACCGCUACUGAUGGAUGGACCCGCGGUGCAUUAGCUAGUGGGUGAGGGAACGGCUCACCAAGGCCACGAUGAAUAGCCGACCUGAGAGGGGGAUCGGCAACACUGGGACGGAGAAACGGCCCAGACGCCUACGGGAGGCAGCAGUAGGGAAUAUUCGGCAAUGGACGAAAGUCUGACCGAGCAACGCCGCGUGAGUGAAGAAGGUGUUCGGAUCGUAAAACUCUGUUGGUAGAGAAGCGGUAUCUAACCAGAAAGCCACGGCUAACUACGUGCCAGCAGCCGCGGUAAUUC
rnacentral:rRNA from 1 species